CAGCAGCCACGGUAAUACGUAGGUGGCGAGCGUUGUCCGGAAUCAUUGGGCGUAAAGGGAGCGCAGGCGGGCAUAUAAGUCUUUCUUAAAAGUUCGGGGCUCUACCCCGUGAUGGGAAAGAAACUAUAUGUCUUGAGUACAGGAGAGGAAAGCGGAAUUCCCAGUGUAGCGGUGAAAUGCGUAGAUAUUGGGAGGAACACCAGUGGCGAAGGCGGCUUUCUGGACUGCAACUGACGCUGAGGCUCGAAAGCCGGGGGAGCGAACGGGAUUAGAUACCCCUGUAGUCCCUGUCUCUUAUACC
rnacentral:rRNA from 1 species